CCAAAACCAAGGAAAGUCGAGAAAGCAGAGCAAAGCAAACAGAAAUCGUAGAGACGAUAGAGAGAACAGAAACCCUAGCGAAGAGAGAGAUGAAGAAGGACGAUUCAAAUCUUCCUCCCGGAGUUUGCCAGAACUGCCGCCAAUCCCUUUGCUUCGCGACCGUUGAUUCCUAUACAGACAAGCUCUUCAACGGCUCCGUCUCCUCUUCUUACUCCGGAAGCACAUUGGAUUCAACCUGGAUGGACCAUUCAUUUGUUGUGUUGCCAAAGCAAAAAAGUCAGGCGCAUGGAUUUCCCCCUCGUCCUCGCACUGGGACUGCAAAACCUGAUUCUGACCAAUCCAGGAAGGCAAUGGAAGAGUCUUUUGUUGUAUUGCCGCUUGCCAGCAGAAAACCAUCGAUCAUAACCAUGUUGAACAGAAGAUUUGAUAUUGCCACAGCCCAAACACUGGUUGAUCAACCACUGUGUUUGGAAUGUAUGCGGAUGCUGUCUGAUAAACUCAAUAAAGAGGUCGAAGAUGUAAGACAGGAUAUUAAAGCUUAUGAGGCUUGUCUUCAACGCCUUGAGGUGGUGUCAUGCAACGCUCUUAGUGAAGCUGAUUUCAUUCAGGAAAAGGACAAGGCUGAAGAAGAAGAGAGAAGGCUUGAAUCAGCCAUUGAAGAAGCUGACAAACAGUUGGCAGAAGUAAAUAUUCAACGAAAGGGAUUAGAAUUUGAAUCAAAGCGUUUCAAAGAACUAGAGGAUAGCUACUGGCAUGAGUUCAACAGUUUCCAGUUUCAGCAAACUUCACGUCAGGAAGAGAGAGAUGCAAUUUUGUCCAAGAUUCAAGUAUCACAAGCACAUCUGGAAUUGUUGAAGUGCACGGAUAUGCUGAAUGAUGCCUUUCCUAUUUGUGUUGAUGGAGAUUUCGGAACUAUUAACAAUUUUCGGCUUGGUCGUCUUCCUAAUAUACGGGUUCAGUGGGACGAGAUAAAUGCUGCUUGGGGGCAGGCAUGCCUUCUUCUCCACGUGAUGGCCCAAUAUUUCCAGCCAAAGUUUCCAUAUCGUAUAAAGAUUCUUCCAAAGGGAAGUUACCCACGAAUUGUGGAUGGUAACGACACAUAUGAGCUGUUUGGUCCCGUGAAUUUAUUCUGGAGCACUCGCUAUGACAAAGCAAUGACCCUGUUCUUGACAUGCCUCAAGGAGUUUGCUAAGUUUGCAACUUCCAAGGAUCGAGAAAACAACAAACGGCCAAAUGAUAUUUUCAAGCUCCCUCAUGAGAUUGAAAAUGACAAGGUGAAGAGCUACAGAAUUGCAUUAAGCUUCAAUAAGCUGGAGCAUUGGACAAAGGCUCUCAAGUACAUGCUCUGUGAUCUGAAAUGGGUGCUAUCCUGGUUCGUCCACAACACCAAUUUUCAGCCUCUUUCUGCACCACCAGCUUCUUCUCAGACCAAUUCUCAACUUAGUGCAUCAACAGGGAAAUGUCUCCAAGGCGGAAUCUAGUGGCAUCUCCAUGCAAAAUAGGACACGUUCAAGCAAGUAGGGCUGAAAGCCUGAAAGGGCGCAGAUCCGUCCAGGCCCAUCACCUCAUGUAAAAACAAAAACCCAAGCCUGGCAAGGGCCCAUGACAGACCAAAACAGGUGUGCUAGAGGCAGAUGCAGUGAUCAGAGACCAAUGACCUUGCGGAUCAGUUACCUAUUUAGCCAUUUGAUUGAAGGGACGUCAAUAUUCGCAUGAUUGCGGACGUAAUUCAACAACGGAACGGCAAAGAAAGAAGAGAAUUGAUUGAAAGUUGAAAAUAAUUUUAUUGAUGAUUUACAAUUAUCAUACUUGCAAUCAAUUGUUAAGAACAAAAAAUCAUUCAUUGUUGUUGAAACUAAGCUUCAUGGCAAGAUGGUCAUUCGGGAGGCCGACAAUCAUCUUAAUGAAAGUUGGUGAUCAUCUGGCAUAGAAUGACAACCCAGUGUAGCAGCACGGCAAUGUAAUCAUGUAGAAUUUCUUGUAGCAGCGUGGUAGCAUAGCCAUGUAGCAGCAUAGUAACAUAGCAAAAUAGCCACGUAGUCCAGGAUAGCAGCGUAGCCACAUAGCUGCAUAACAGCCUUGUAAAUAAGUAGCGUUGCGCAAGUUUUAUUGAUUUUAGACCUCUCCAACGAACUCCAUUGAUUGCUUUAUUUAUAGAUUAUAUGAGAUGAGUAUGUAAUUAUUGCACUACCUUCUCAAUUACGAGUAAUUAUAUGACCACUCCAUCACCUCCUUAAUUACGA